GGGCCUGUAGCCGAACCGGGAAGGCGCCUGGUUUGCACCCAGGAGAUUGCGGGUUCGAGUCCCGCCGGGUCCACCA
rnacentral:tRNA from 1 species